UACGAAGGGGGCUAGCGUUGCUCGGAAUCACUGGGCGUAAAGCGCACGUAGGCGGCUUUUUAAGUCAGGGGUGAAAUCCUGGAGCUCAACUCCAGAACUGCCUUUGAUACUGAGAAGCUCGAGUCCGGGAGAGGUGAGUGGAACUGCGAGUGUAGAGGUGAAAUGCGCAGAUAUCAGGAAGAACACCCGUGGCGAAGGCGGCUCUCUGGCCCGGUACUGACGCUGAGGUGCGAAAGCGUGGGGAGCAAACAGG
rnacentral:rRNA from 1 species